rnacentral:lncRNA from 1 species
ACGAGCAGCAGAGCCGCCCAGCAGCAACCACAUUAGGAAGGAAUCGGAAACCAACGCUCCGCUGGCUGUCACCCCUUACCCACUUGCUGUCAGACAAAAUAUUACUCUGUCACCCAGACUGGAGUCCAGUGGUGUGAUCUCAGCUCACUGCAACCUCCGCCCCCUCAAGUCCAAGCCACUCUCAUGCCUCAGUCUCCUGAGUAGCUGGGAUUACAGGCACCCACCACCACGUCUGGCUAAUUUUUGUAUUUUUAGUAGAGACAGGGUUUUGCCAUCUUGGCCAGCCUGGUCUCGAACUCCUGGCCUCAAGUGAUCUGUCCACCUCAGCCUCCCAAAGUGCUGGGAUUACAGAUGUGAGCCACCACACCUGGCCUAAAAUGUCAUAUAUUUUGAACUGACUGACUUCUCCAAAAACUUAUGGUUAUUAGUUGAGAGAGAAAACUUGAGAGAAAGUUUCCCUGCACUUGGAUGAGAGGAGAGCGGAACAGCCUGCAUCUCUGGUGCUGGGGAGUAUCAAAUAAGGGGAAUUGGGAGAAGGAUGGAGGCAACAGCGUAGCUCUUUGCCUUUCAAAAUUAAAAUGGGAUGCUGCUUUAUAUUACAAAUCUAAGGAAUUAGAAGAGCAGCAAACUAAGCAACUAAGUUUGUUCUCCUUGCAUAAACUUUAAAAAGCCAGCUUAAAAGUUCUCAAGCUUAAAAUUCGAAAAAUGAAAACAAAUGCAUGGCAUGACAGAGGGGAUAAUUCCUGCACUUUUGGAAAUGUUCUCAUGUUUUCUUCAUUUCAUCCUAUGAAUGAAAAUGCCGUCAAAGGGGAAUAAGGCUAUUCGCAGAGUGCUCAUCACCACGGUAACCACUGAGCAUCUGUACCCUUUAGUAUCUUCAUUUUGAUUAUAAUAAAUGAGUUACGAAUCUAUAUCUGGGGCCCUAGUUAUAUAUUUGCCAUAUGUUCACACCACAUGCACACACACACACACACACACACACACACACACACACUCACAUAUAUGGUGACUAAGACUAAGAGUCAGCCUAAAAGAAGAAUGAUUUGGAGCGGGAGCUCUUGGAGGGAAUGGUAGGAAAAUAACAGGGAUCCACUCAGUCUCAUUUUCUACUAAAUUUCAAUAAUGAGAAGUGUGCUCAGCAAAUGUUUGUUGACUAUAUGAAUAAAUGAAAUGGUGCAUUUAACCAGAAUUGCAUAUUUAAAUAUGGUGGUAGUGUGUACAAUAUUAGAGGAAGGAAAUGCAGGCAACAAGGAGAAGGCUUCUGCGAUGAUCCAUGACACUCUGAUAUUGCCAUUCUGUGCAAAGUUGCUCACAUUUUGACAUUCAUGAUCAUUUUUAAUUCCCCAAAACAAGCAACUGAACUUUCAACUUCCUUUUAUUACCAUAAAAUAGAUGCAAUAGAUACCCUCACCCCAUUCCUCACCCACCCCCCAAUUAGCUUUACCUGGUGCCUAAUCCACAGCCCAUCCCAGACUCACCCUAUCCCUCCUUAGACUUCUCUGUAUCUUUUACCCGAUCCUUCCAGGUGUCCAAACAGUGUCAUCCGGUGUCCUGACAUGCGGCCCCAAUGGACUGAUCCAGGGUGGAAAGGAAGAGUGAGAAGAAAUCAGACAGAAGAAUUCAGGAGAUGUGGCAACAGAGUGGAUGUAGCAGAAGGGACAUAGAGAGUGCCUAAAGAUGAGUCUUUGGUCAGCAUGUGAUGAAAAGAAUGAAGACACUGGGGAAGUGGGGAGCAGAAGCGGAUGUGGGCCCAGGAGGAAGAAGGUAGGUUUGGACUGGGGCAUGCUGAGGUCAGUAGCAACAUCAAAGUCCUGAGCACCCUCAUAUUGUUGCAGAUUCCAGAGAGCAGAGAUGGCAAAAAGAUGCAUGGAAGAGAGACACAGCAGGGUCGGGUUCUGGCCUCAGGAGCCAAGGGGGAAGUGCCUGAGGAGACCCCCAAAUGAGGCCUGUGUCAAUGAGGUCUUUAGGGGACUGGUUUCCAUGUAUGCCAGGCCAUACUCCCUGGAUUCCCAGCAUUGAGAAGACCAAACACUUCUACACAUUUAUUACUGAAGCCCCCUGCAAGCUGAAGGCGGAGGAAGUGGCCAAUCUCCUAAGCCGUGUGUGGCUGAGGCAGUUGUCAGAGCUGUGAUGAGGGAAAUGCUCAUUAUUCUUCUAUCCCUCACUUGGCCAAAUAAAGAACUUCUUAGAAUUCUUCCCCUGUGACAAAACGGGGCUGUGAUUUGGAAAGCCUCAGGCAAGUUUGCUAGGGCCGCGGUAACCAAGCACCACAGACUGGGUGGCUUCAAAACUGGACGGCUUCAACAGAAAGUUAUUGUUGCUCAGUUCUGGAAGCCAGAAGUCCAAAAUCAAGGUACUUGCAGGGUCAGUUCGAUCUGAGGGCUGCGAGGGAAGGAUCUGUUGUAGACCUCUCUCCUAGGUUUGCAGGCAUUGGUCCUGAUGUUCACAGGGCAUCCUUCCUGUGCCUUCACAUCAUCUUCUCUCUGAAUGUAUCUCUGGGUCCAAAUUUCCCUAUUUUAAAAUAAGGAAAUCAGUCCUAUUGGGUUAGCACCCCGCCCCUCACUUUAACUUGAUUACCUCUGUAAAGACCCUACCUCCAAAUAAGAUCACAUUCUGCGUACUGAGGGCUAGGACCUCAACAUCUGAAUUCAGGGUGGGUGGAUGCACAAUUCAUUCCAUAACAUUAAGAAGGAAGGGAUAAGUGCCCAAGGAAUCACAUGCUCGCUUGGGGAGAGUUCCAAGCGUGCAGAGCUGGUGGUCAUAGCCUAGCCUCAGGCCUUCGGAAAUCCCCUGAAUCUGGUUUUCCCAGUUCUCAUAAUCUCAUUUCACCAAAAUACGGCAUCUCAAUACAUUCCAUGCAUUUCUGGUGACAAGCUCAUUCUGGUGCACGCUAAGCAAUGUGCUAACUACGUCUUAACUAGGGUGGUUUAACUGGUUUGGUUAACAUAGAUCUCUGAGUCAUUUCACGCAUUCCUUAAGCCUAAACAAAUCUCAUCCAGGUGUUUAAGACAUUGCACAAUAUUAGACCAUCUGAAGCUCCAUCUCCUUGGGGCAAUGAUGAUGAUGGUGAUGAAAGUGGCUGGUGACUGUUCUCAGUCUCAUCGCCAUAAUGGAACCCUACGUUGUGUUCCUCCACACUGGUGUGAGGGACACUACUAAGUGCGGCAGAGUUUGCACUCAGGAUAGAGAAAUAUGGACUCACGCACAGAUUCCAGCUGAGUCCCUCCGAUGUGCUAGGUACUAUGUCCAGCCCCCCAGGAUUCACCUGUAAGCAGGACAGUCUUUUGGAUGACAGAGGGAAUUCUCAUAUAUCCACAGGCAGAUGGAAUUUACAAGUGGAAAGACCUAGAAGUUCAGAGACAGGGGGACUGAACUUUUUGCUUUCAGUCAGAAUCUUUGCUUACGGUUGUGCAAAUGCUUGCAUUGGUGGGUUUCCAUGCCAUAUAACGUGCUACAUAUUUUUACGUUACCCUUGCACAUAAGCAUACUGUUGGGAGGGAAAAUGAAGAGGGUGGAGGUGGUAACAAACUCAAGCUAAGGAAAUGGAAUUUGGAUGGGUACAAAGUCCAGAGAAUUAGCUUGAGGAAAAUGAACCAGGAUUCACACAGGAGUUUUCAAACAUCUCAAUAUCAGGACCCCUUUACCCUCUUAAAACUUACUUCGUGAGGACCUUAAAGAGCUUUUGUUUGUGUGACUUAUAUGUAUUAAUAUUUACUAUAUUAGAAAUUAAAAGUAAGGAAUGGUUGUA